AGUCAUCUAACUAUUUGUAAUGAAACAAGGUCAUCUUCUUUUCACAGAUGGGAGAGCUAAAGGAACAGGAAUGUGAAGUUACUAGCUGAAAGCUAUAUAGCAGGCCAGUACCAAAUCCAGGAAUAGAAGCCAAGUCUCCUAAGUUGCAGUCUGAUGCUAUAAUAAAGAAGAAAUUUUGCCCUCUGAUGUUACAAUGAGGGUGCUGAGCAUCUGCCCUUCACCUUGCCUUUAUGGAAGACUUUAUAGAAGACUGCGUCUCAGAAAAAGGAAAUAAAGUUGUGUAUGUCCAACAAGGAUUUUCUUGGAAGUCACUUUUGGAAAUACUGCUGUAAAUGCACUGGAAGGAUCAAAAGCUCAAGUCUGGCUCCAGUUUAGCUGGGGGGAAGCCUACUACUGAAGACCCAAGAGACAGAGAUGCUGCAGAUACGGAAGCCCAUUACAGAGCCUAAUGCUGCCUGCCAUAUUGAGGAAUGUUUGUCACAAUUUUUGCAAAGGAUGAACCCCAAGGCAUGGCUGCCAUGGUUGUCUGAAACAAGAAACAGACACCCUUUUCAUUUCAUUCAUUUCACUGCUCAUUGGCAAUCUGAGCCUAAGUGAAGGCAGAAGAYGACUCCUACAGAGAACUUCGAGUGGUUUGUCCCUUAAGAAGCGGGUAACGAGUUUUUUAAUGUUUUUACCAAAUACCAGAACACAUGAUAAAAGUUUAUGGAUUGUGAAUUAAUUGCA
rnacentral:lncRNA from 1 species